GUCCCUGUAAACAAGGAGUUCACAGACAGAUCAGAAGGCUCUUCUGGAUCGGACUGACUGACAAAGACACAGAAGGGACAUGGAAAUGGGUGGAUGGGACUUUGCUGAGCACAACAACAAGCUACUGGCACCCUGGGGAACCAAACUCCUAUCAAAACGCUGAUGAAGACUGUGGAGAGAUAAAGUUCAACGACCUUGAAUACAACUGGAAUGAUGAAGAAUGUAACAAGCUGAUCUCCUGGAUCUGUGAAAAGAUGGAGGCUUGAUUACGCUGCAACCCAAACGCACCACGCUGGUAACUGCUGAGCUGCAGAGGAAGUGACUCAUUAAAAUGCAAAGACAUAAACAGCCAUUCACACUUUGACAUGUCCCCAUAGUAAGAAGUACUAAUAACAAAACUAAUGAUAUUUAGUUUGAUUCGUUCCUGGGUCCUGGUAUUGUACAUGCUGCCUGUGUCAUUUGUUUUCAUACUGUAGCUUCUGUCAAUAUGUGUUUGCUGUUCUGACUAUUUGUUAUCAGAAUCACGCUUUUUCUUAUAAAUAAAUGUUUUGUAACCAA